AUCAGUAGGCCUCAAAUAAUGUGUGACUACCC
rnacentral:rRNA from 1 species